AAUUGAAGAGUUUGAUCAUGGCUCAGAUUGAACGCUGGCGGCAGGCCUAACACAUGCAAGUCGAGCGGUAGCACAGGAGAGCUUGCUCUCUGGGUGACGAGCGGCGGACGGGUGAGUAAUGUCUGGGAAACUGCCUGAUGGAGGGGGAUAACUACUGGAAACGGUAGCUAAUACCGCAUAACGUCUUCGGACCAAAGUGGGGGACCUUCGGGCCUCACGCCAUCAGAUGUGCCCAGAUGGGAUUAGCUAGUAGGUGGGGUAAUGGCUCACCUAGGCGACGAUCCCUAGCUGGUCUGAGAGGAUGACCAGCCACACUGGAACUGAGACACGGUCCAGACUCCUACGGGAGGCAGCAGUGGGGAAUAUUGCACAAUGGGCGCAAGCCUGAUGCAGCCAUGCCGCGUGUGUGAAGAAGGCCUUCGGGUUGUAAAGCACUUUCAGCGAGGAGGAAGGGUAGUGUGUUAAUAGCACAUUGCAUUGACGUUACUCGCAGAAGAAGCACCGGCUAACUCCGUGCCAGCAGCCGCGGUAAUACGGAGGGUGCAAGCGUUAAUCGGAAUUACUGGGCGUAAAGCGCACGCAGGCGGUUUGUUAAGUCAGAUGUGAAAUCCCCGCGCUUAACGUGGGAACUGCAUUUGAAACUGGCAAGCUAGAGUCUUGUAGAGGGGGGUAGAAUUCCAGGUGUAGCGGUGAAAUGCGUAGAGAUCUGGAGGAAUACCGGUGGCGAAGGCGGCCCCCUGGACAAAGACUGACGCUCAGGUGCGAAAGCGUGGGGAGCAAACAGGAUUAGAUACCCUGGUAGUCCACGCUGUAAACGAUGUCGACUUGGAGGUUGUGCCCUUGAGGCGUGGCUUCCGGAGCUAACGCGUUAAGUCGACCGCCUGGGGAGUACGGCCGCAAGGUUAAAACUCAAAUGAAUUGACGGGGGCCCGCACAAGCGGUGGAGCAUGUGGUUUAAUUCGAUGCAACGCGAAGAACCUUACCUACUCUUGACAUCCACAGAAUUCGCUAGAGAUAGCUUAGUGCCUUCGGGAACUGUGAGACAGGUGCUGCAUGGCUGUCGUCAGCUCGUGUUGUGAAAUGUUGGGUUAAGUCCCGCAACGAGCGCAACCCUUAUCCUUUGUUGCCAGCACGUAAUGGUGGGAACUCAAAGGAGACUGCCGGUGAUAAACCGGAGGAAGGUGGGGAUGACGUCAAGUCAUCAUGGCCCUUACGAGUAGGGCUACACACGUGCUACAAUGGCGUAUACAAAGAGAAGCGAACUCGCGAGAGCCAGCGGACCUCAUAAAGUACGUCGUAGUCCGGAUCGGAGUCUGCAACUCGACUCCGUGAAGUCGGAAUCGCUAGUAAUCGUAGAUCAGAAUGCUACGGUGAAUACGUUCCCGGGCCUUGUACACACCGCCCGUCACACCAUGGGAGUGGGUUGCAAAAGAAGUAGGUAGCUUAACCUUCGGGAGGGCGCUUACCACUUUGUGAUUCAUGACUGGGGUGAAGUCGUAACAAGGUAACCGUAGGGGAACCUGCGGUUGGAUCACCUCCUUA
rnacentral:rRNA from 1 species